rnacentral:misc_RNA from 1 species
AAAAUUGCCUCAAAUGUCUUACACCAUAAGCUAGUCCACUCGCUCUGGAGGAGCUGUCAUGACUGGAGUCCCAAACCCUGAAGAAUAGAUUUUCAGCUUCCAUUGGCAGCUGGGAUUGCUGCUGGCUUUGCAUCCUCCGCUUUCUCGUGUUCUUUGUUGAGCAUCUUAUUAUUAAUCAAGUUGUGGAGUGCUAUGACGCUUCGAAUGAGAGAUGAUAGAUAUGUAACCAACAUCAUAUCAUUUGUUUUCACAGCAAAAGCCUUGAUCAACUCAGUCACAUUAAGAUUUGGCAGUAGGUUGAACACAUCCUGCAUAAACAGACAUACAAGAAAAUAGUAAACAAAGUUGAGAACAUUGAAUGGCUAUUGUUCAACAGCACAUUGGUUCAUUUUGAAAACAUAGUGCCAUAAACAUCAAUAAGCUCUGUAGAUAAGCCUACAACUGGCACUCCCACAUAACCACUCAUGCACACAAACUCAAAGCCACAACUACUUGUGGCUGCCAGUGCACACUAUACUUGGAUAACAAACAAAUGAAUUUUCCAAACUAAUAAAUCAGCACUACAUUCAAACCUAGGUAGGCUUCUUAAGAAUGAUUAAUGAACCCGACAUAAUAAAUAUACCAAAAAUUAAGUAUCAAUAAGCAAUUAAAUAAUUCAUCGUCAAUUCCUACAUGCAGCCACGGGCUCUAACCAGUCAAAACCCAAGAACUUCAAACAUUUCUUUAGCUAAUAGAAGUAAUAAGCUUAUUUCAUUGAAUGGCAAGAGAAGGAAGAAUCAUCAAGUAUGAACAGAAUAUUAUUGAUUAAGUCUAUAAUAAAGGAAUACUAAAAUUUGUAGGUUGCAGUAAUAAAAAGAUAAUAUAUACCAGACCUGUAAAUGGUAGAGUAUCUCAUGAUUCAAUGGGAGCUUUCCAUCAAUGACAAGAUCAAGAUAGCCUCGUAUUUCUCGUAGGCGUGCAUCCAAACCCUUCAAGGCUGUAAGUUUACCCGUAACCUGAGAAUAGCAUAUAAUUAUGAUCCUUCACCUUAUUUCAAUUCAGCUAUAAUUUCAACAUCCAUAAACUCCAACAAUGAUUAAAAAAAUGAAGAAAGCUCAAUAAUUGAACAUAGAAAAUCUGAUAGAAAACAAAAACCUCAGUUGCAAGUGUGCUGAUGGUUGUGUCCUUCACAUCCCGUAGUAAGUGUUCAACUCCUGUGAUGGGCGAUGGAAGAACAUCAUUAGUGAAAAUAAAUGUCAAAUAAAACCAGGCUAACAUCAACUGUAUCUUCUUCAGAACUAAUAAUGGACAGGAACAAAAAAUAAAAAGCAGAAAGCAGACAUCCUGACAGGAUAAUUUGAUUUCUUAUCAUGCCAUACCAAUCUCCUCAACCUCAUGAGCUGCAAUUUCUGAAGGCACAUGAACAAAAACCUUCUGGCUCUUUUGUGUAGCAUUCUGUUGUUAUAAUAAAAAAAACAUAAGGGAGAAAUAGAAUCAGCACCUCAACAAAUAUCAAACAACUUCUUUAAUUUUAUUAAUGUCUUCUUAAUAUCAUUCUUAAUUUGAGCUUUCUUUGAUAAUUAAAUCAGUUGUAUUCCACUUCCAUAUAAUAUAAUGCAUUAUGCAUUAGAUUAAUCACUGACAACAACUGGAAGACAAAACAUGAUUUAUUCUUACCUCUUUAACCUCUUCAACAUCAUAGUAGGCCUUGGUGGGUAUUCCCAACUCCUUAGGCUGAACAUCAAUAAUGACCAAGACAGGAUUUUGGACAUAGCUACAUCCCCACAAAUCACUUAGUGAAAAAAUGUAAACUUAAAAAAAAUGCAGUGAUCUAAGUACAAGCUUCAUAACCCUCUUCCUUGUUAAAAAAUCAAAAGCGUACAUGGAACCGCAUAACAAACACAAAGAUACGGCAGUAAAAUAGAUAGGAAGUGAAAAGAGCAUGAAAUUUGUGAGAAAUUAUAAAAUGACUAUAAAUAAAAAUAUGAUCUUACUUGUGGAAUAACUGGUGAAUAUCUAGGUCAUUCUCCCGUAGCUUUGGGCCUGUACUAUACCAACCUACUACAUGCUCCUUGGCUGAAAAAAUUACCACAAAUUCAUAACAAAUAUAUGGAAACAAACAACGAUACAAUAUAACAAAAACUUAAAAAUAGGAAUCACAGGUUACAUGAAAUUGAAACAACAAUUACCAUUUAUUCUUUUGAACAUUGAAAACAUAGAUUCAUGGUAGUUGUGGUCAAGAAACCAUAUACUUGGGUCCUUGUCUUCUUCUUCAAAGGGCACUGAAAGUGCAAAAUUAUACAUUUAAAACUCAGCAAAAUUAUUCCUUUUAACAAUUGAUAUACAGUACACUAUGUUUACAAUGCAUGCUAUAAUCUUAGAACACAUCAUUCGCACAUAGAAUCCAAACUAGCUCUAUUGUCUUUUCUCCAUCCAUUAACAAAACCAAACCUCACCAACAUUUUAAACCUUCUCAUUCAAAGCAGAAGAAAUCCCUUUUGAGAAGAAAAUAACCUCAAUGGCCCCUAAUCACUGACCCAUUACCAUGGACUCCAAUCCGCUUCAACUUAAAGUUCAGUGCUUGAGAAAGGCUCUGGUGACUAGACUUGGGGAAAAACAUUAUACCAAACCCCACCUAAAAAUUUCCCUACUCACACAAAAUUGAGGACAAAUGAAGAAAUUAACAAUAGAGCUGAAAUAUCAUAUUAAACAAGGUUCACUGCGUAAAACCUAACCCACUAUACAAACAAACAAGAAAAAAAAUUGCAAAAGCCCAAUUUCCUGUAUUACAAUGAAAGUAAAGAAAGAAAACUUAGAUCUGCAGCAAAAUUAAGAAAAAUUAAACAGCCGAGCAAGGACUUAAGCGACUGAUAUAAAAAAGAAAUGGGACCUGCGUAGCUGUUGGUGAC